AGAACCAAUUUCAGAAAUCCUUUAUUCCUGGUUGUAAAGAUACAGCAUUCUUGUUCUUUGGUGUUUUGUGGCUAUAGUAAAAUCAGGAAGAAGAAUUCCUCUGUGUGGAAAAUGGCAUUUUAAAAUAUCAAACCCAUUGCUUGGGCAUUUUCUAGGAUAACAUUAGGGACUGAAAUGCUAAAUUCUAUCUUCAAUUUCUACUAUGUAAAGGUUUUUUUACACCUGUACAAGAUUUCAGAAGUGGCCUUUUACCAAGCACAGAGCUGAUUCCUCAUGACCUGAAAGAGUUAUCAAGAAGCGGUUAUCCAUGUCCAAGAUCCUCUGUUUAAGGGCAAAGAGACUUUUGAAAGAUUGUCACUUAAAACACAACAGCUUUAGAGUUUAAAGGAUGAUUUUAAUGAUUUGGAAUGCUCUUAACGACAUGACUGGGUAUUUUCACAACAACGUUUUCAGGCCAUCACUGUUGUCAUGCUGUUCUUGCUACUGCCAGCCUUUACACUGGCAUGCGCCACGUGAGUCACUUAGAACCUAAAAGAAGCCCUGAGGAAAACCCUUUCUCAGAAACUGAAUAGGAUCUCCCCUGGACCUCCGUCAUCUCAGUGAUGAGACAAAUCUUGAUCCAGAAAAACUUUCGCCUUUUUCUGAUAAUGAAUUUCUUCCAAGUCUUCCAUUUAACCUUCUUCAGUAACUUCAUGAUGAUCUUUGUUGGUAAUCUCAUUCCUAAGGAUGUUCUUCCUUCUUCCAUAAGGAGCAUCAUGUAUGGGGCAGGCUUUAUCUGCCCACAGGGAUGUGAUGAUUCUUCAUGUAUCUUCCUACAGGGAUUAAAGAUAUAACUCUUACCUGGCUGAGGAAUUAAAAACCUGAUUAUAUCAGUAGUUGGAAAAAAUGAUUCACAUUUAUUAAGAGACCCAAAGAUUCAGAGUCCCAGAAAUUAUACAAGAUUCUGUAGAAAUAUAAUGGAAACAAGAGAUGCAAGGAGAAAAGGAAGGAGAACGCAAGAAAACUGAGCAAUGUAAUAUUUUAAACAUUUAGCUUUUCAAUUUUGUUCUCCUGAGCUUCCUCAUUUAAACCUCCGCAGAACUACGGAGGAAAAUACAUGGCUUCCUGUGAGCAUGUCAUUUUGCCUUAUCCUGACAUUUAAGAUU